GCGCCAGUAGCUCAGGUGGAUAGAGCAACAGCCUUCUAAGCUGUGGGCCAAGGGUUCGAGUCCUUUCUGGCGCG
rnacentral:tRNA from 1 species